rnacentral:rRNA from 1 species
GGCGGGACACGUGGUAUCCUGUCUGAAUAUGGGGGGACCAUCCUCCAAGGCUAAAUACUCCUGACUGACCGAUAGUGAACCAGUACCGUGAGGGAAAGGCGAAAAGAACCCCGGCGAGGGGAGUGAAAAAGAACCUGAAACCGUGUACGUACAAGCAGUGGGAGCACAGGUUUACCUGUGUGACUGCGUACCUUUUGUAUAAUGGGUCAGCGACUUAUAUUCUGUAGCAAGGUUAACCGAAUAGGGGAGCCGGAGGGAAACCGAGUCUUAAUUGGGCGUUAAGUUGCAGGGUAUAGACCCGAAACCCGGUGAUCUAGCCAUGGGCAGGUUGAAGGUUGGGUAACACUAACUGGAGGACCGAACCGACUAAUGUUGAAAAAUUAGCGGAUGACCUGUGGCUGGGGGUGAAAGGCCAAUCAAACCGGGAGAUAGCUGGUUCUCCCCGAAAGCUAUUUAGGUAGCGCCUCGUGAAUUCAUCUCCGGGGGUAGAGCACUGUUUCGGCUAGGGGGCCAUCCCGGCUUACCAACCCGAUGCAAACUGCGAAUACCGGAGAAUGUUAUCACGGGAGACACACGGCGGGUGCUAACGUCCGUCGUGAAGAGGGAAACAACCCAGACCGCCAGCUAAGGUCCCAAAGUCAUGGUUAAGUGGGAAACGAUGUGGGAAGGCCCAGACAGCCAGGAUGUUGGCUUAGAAGCAGCCAUCAUUUAAAGAAAGCGUAAUAGCUCACUGGUCGAGUCGGCCUGCGCGGAAGAUGUAACGGGGCUAAACCAUGCACCGAAGCUGCGGCAGCGACGCUGAUGCGUUGUUGGGUA